rnacentral:misc_RNA from 1 species
CUAAGGAAUAUUACGGAGACUACACAGGUUAUUUUAUUCGUUCAGUUUUGAGAGGUUUACUCUCAAUCGUUCAUUGAAAACUGGAUACAGAAACAAACCAAACAAACCGAGAACACCGCGUUGAAUGAGUUUUUUAUAAGUUCAAUUGCUUAUUUUAUUACUAAGGAACAUGAUCGCUCAUGGAAAUUAGUAAGACCCAACCGUAAGGUUGAUAA